GUUUUUCAGGUGGGCCCUAUCUAAUCACCUGGGCCCUGAAAUGCAGAGAAUUUUAUCCAGCUGGAGUCACAGAGAUAUGGCAGGCAGGGAGGCAGCAGAGAGAUAAAAAUGUGAGAAAGACUUGGUCUGCACCACCAGCUGUAAAGUUGGAAGAAGGGGGCCAUGGGCUGAGUGGUAUGGCUGAACUCGAAGAAGCUGAGAAUGACCCCACACCAAAACCUAGCAAGAAAAUGAGGACCUCAGACUCACAGGCUUGUGGCACCAAGUUUUGCCAAAAAAUGGACUCACUUGGAAUCAGAUUUAUCCACCAAGCCUCCAGCAAAGGAAGCAGCCCUGCUGUCGUGAUUUGUUCAUGCACAUAAAACCUGGAGUAGAGAAGGCUGAGCUACCUUGCGCCCAAACUCCCAAUCCACAUAAACUCAGAAAUGAAAGCAAAGGGGUCCCUGGAAGUCACACCAAGUUCAAAGUCGAUGAGAAGAACUUAGUCCUUAUCUAGGCAAUGGUUUUGAGAGAAAGGUUGAAGUCAUUGCAAGAUCAUGAGGAAGUGAAAGACCUUACCACUCCUUCUGCAUGUGAAGUUCCCCAGCAGGCGUGUUUUCAGGGCUGCUUCCAGUCAAUAACUGAGUGUCAUUACGGAAUGGACUAAAGGAGACCCAUCCUUGUAAG